UUAAUUGUACGCAGCAAUGCUGCAGUCGGUUUGGCAAUACAAAUGUAAAAAUAUAUUGCAGUAAUAAGAAACUGUCAAGAGACAUCAGGUAGUCCUAAUUAUUUUUAGUUUCAUUAUCGGGCAAUUCCAGCGUUACUGACGUGACAUUCACAGUCAAAACCUGAAAUAUAAAUUAUCCCAGAAUGUAUUCAUUACCAAUAUAUUGAACCAUCUCUUUAUGUUUUUCUAAAUCCCAAACAGAGUCCAGACACCAGAAAAGUAUCCGUCUAUGAAUGUGUUUUAUAGGCUAUUUUAGAUUUGGGAAAUACACAUGCAUUACGGACAUGACAAAAAAGACCUGAGUUUUUGGGAGACAACAUUUUGUAGACUUUCUUUGAUUUACAAUGCACAAAACAGAAGCAACAAUAUCUGCAGAAAUGAGAGGGGUUUACCAUUCUCAAAACAUAAAAUAUAAAUUUUUAUUCCAAUUUUUGUUUUUGUGUUUCGGAGGAAAAAUCAAUGUUAAGGCAUCUCUCCGUUACGGAUUGUUCUGAAAGCAGAAUUUAUACAAACGUGUAUAAAAUGCUUUAAAAACUUUAACAGAGAUGUCUAGAGGGUAUUCAAUAGGUCUGCCCCCACGUAAGAUUUUUGUAGUUAGUAGUAGUCGUUCAUUUAAGUCAUUAUUCAACUAAUCGCAGGUUUAUAUUAAAUUAACACAGUCUAAUCCAUAAUGAGCCUUAAUAUAUUCCACGCUCAAGCACACACAUUAAGUUUGCCACAAAGCACAGGCAGAAGUAGCCUUAUAAUUGUGAAAAAGGAGACAUUUUAUUUAUUUAUUAAUAAACUAAUGUUUUCUUGUCGUCUGCAAGAUGAGAUUCACAGUGCUAACUCUCAUCUCCACAGGAUGGGCAUAAUCAGGGAGUAUUUGCAUUUGUUUUGAAUUGGGUAAUUUCAAGCUUUCUGUAGACAUAUUUCUCAUGUAUGUAAGGCACCCCAGUUUUAAGUUAUUUCAUUAUCAGGAAAAAAGGGGAGAAAAAAAAUGAUUGUGAGGGCGCUUCCCUGUCAUGCAUGCGCAUCAAUAAUUUUCCACACAAACACUUCAAUAUGAAUAGUAAAAGCACAUUUCUUUUAGGUUACAGUAUGGGAUCCGCAUUAAAAAUAAAUCUUCACCUAAUAAAUCUUCACUUUAGUCUACAACCGAGACAGAUGCAGUUAUAACCUGUAAAUUAAAGGCUAUUUGACAUUUUAAAAUGAUGUAACAGCUGAUGCUGCUCCAAUUUGUUGAUUUUGAUUGUUUUAAUACAUCUAUUUUACAUUACCUGCUUUGUAUCUUUAUUAAAGUUAGAUAUUAUUGUACAAAUAAUUAUAAAAUGCUAUAGACUGCGAAUACGAUUGCAGUUUCACAGUUUGCAUAUGCAUUACAAAGUUAAUUAUUUUUUACGUGCAAUGAUACAAAAUAAAACCAAAAAAGAUUUGUAAUGAAGAAAAAAUAUGUAGACAAAUAAGAAUAAAUGUUGUGUGUCACACUCAUCUUCAUGCGCGCCACCCAAAUCUUGCACUCUGAUAUUUUAAGGAAUAGAAUACACUUCUGCAUUUAAAUGCGGCUGCAAUUUUUUUUUUUUAUUUACUUUAAUUGACAACUUCAGUGAUUUUAAAGGGUGCCUUCUUUACUUGCUUUCAUACAAUUUAUGAAGCUCUUUUUUACAUCGUGUGCACUUUGUUGAUUAUAAUGAGAGAACUUGAGUUUAAAUGUGAGGACAUUUUAUUAAUCCAUCAAUUCUUUUCAGUUUCAAUGAUUUAGCUAAAUCGUGGCCAGGUUUAAUUUAUUAGUUUCUUGUUUUAGUUUGGCCUAAAUAAUGGGAGCGAAAUUAUUCAGUGCAUAAUUUUUUACUAAAAUAAUGGAAAUAAUUUAUAAAACAGGCAAAAAAACAUUAUCAGUGUACAGACAGAUAUCUUUUCCCCAAGUAGUUAUCUGUCAAAAUAAAUGACAGGUAACAAAUUACAAAGUAUGUGUGUUUUAUUUGUUCUAAGAAAUGAACAUAACUUAAGGAGGCUACUAAAGUUUCAUCUGUGAAUAUUAAAUAUUUUAACUACAGUGUUUUUCUUUCAUUUUCCUCUGACUGCAGCCAUCAAAUGUAACAUCAGCAAGGCAAAUCUGACGGCUAUUUGCGAAAUGUGCUUUGAUGCGUUUGUUUGAUAACUUAUGGUUAAAGCGCCACUCAGCGGUCAAAAGCUGCAAAUGCACUUUGCAGAGGCCGCGGUAGAAAGCACACUCUGGUUGGCCACCUACUGUACCGGUUUGGUUAAGCGGAAGCAUGGCUUUCACUUACAUAACCUUACCGCAAAUGGAGUUCAGUUUGAGAAACUUAGGUUUUCAGCUCAAUCAUAAGAACUCUUUUUGUUUCUGUCUUUUCAUGUUCUUCCUUACUCUGAAUGCCUCAUCAAUGGACUGAGAAAUAACUUCAUCAAAACUCUGUGCUCAUCGUGGGACAAAUCAGCAUCAAAGAAUUGCAACGCACUCUAUGUUUUAAGGAAACUCGGAUUGUUGAUUAUUUAUGCUACUCUUGCUAUCGCACUAUUGGAUUUUUUCUUCUUCUAUCAUCAUUGAGGACUUCAGUAUUCAGAUUAAGUACAUGUUUCGUCUUAGAGACGAGUAUUCAUUCAACCAGAUAAGUUUUUUUUGUCCUUUUAUUUUGGUUGUUUUUGUAGUCAAAAAGACUUUAUUGGCUGUUUUUCAUGCACAUGCUGUAAUGAUCUGUGGAUUGCCUUUAUUUUAUAUAAACACUUUGUAAUGCACUACUGUGUUUUGUGUUGUUAUCCUCCCUCAG
ensembl:lncRNA